rnacentral:rRNA from 1 species
AUUGAACGCUGGCGGCAGGCCUAACACAUGCAAGUCGAACGAGUGGCGGACGGGUGAGUAAUGUCUGGGAAACUGCCUGAGGGAGGGGGAUACCUACUGAAACCGGUAGCAAAUACCGCAUACCAUCGGAUGUGCCCAGAUGGGAUUAGCUAGUAGGUGGGGUAAAGGCUCACCUAGGCGACGAUCCCUAGCUGGUCUGAGAGGAUGACCGUCCACACUGGAAUUGAGACACGGUCCAGACCCCUACGGGAGGAAGCAGUGGGGAACAUCGGAAAAUGGGGGUAAGCCUAAUGGAGACAUGCCGCGUUGAUGAAGAAGGCCUUCGGGUUGUAAGGCACUUUCAGCGGGGAGGCGUUAUCCGCAGACGAAGCACCGGCUAACUCCGUGCCAGCAGCCGCGGUAAUAC